CCAUAUUUUGCAGAUAGCCCCAUAAUAUUUGCAAAGUAGUCCCAAAUUUGCGCCUGCUCUCCUCCAGUCCCUUCCUGUCCGGCGACGGCGGCGGCGACAGCCGCCGGGCCUUCUCCGGCUCUCCCUUCACCAUUCCUCUUGGAUAUCCACCACCGCGGUCCUCCUACUCCGCCUCUUCAUCAUCUCCAUCUACCUCCCCGCCCGUCGUUUCCCCUAUCCGGCGGUCCGACAACGUUAACUUGCUGCGACGAGCCGACGACCGACGAUGCGAAUUCGUUCUCCAGUCGCAAGGUGUCAUCCACAGAUAUAUUUGCUGGUGGCACUGAAGUUGCCUUUGAGGAGCCAUUUUGGACAUUUCCGGAUGUAUAGCUGCUGGAGGCCAAUGACGGGACUUGUGCAUUGUAUGCUGUUAUGCAGUCUCGAAAAGGAAACUGAGGUGGAGGCGCAUCAGCACUGAGUAAUUGUUCGACAGCAGAUAUGGAAAGCAAGCCUCUCUCCCUAGUUGACGAUGGAUGCUUAUUGGCCAAUUCUGUAGCAGACUCUGAGUGCACGUUGCCUAAAUUUUGAAGGUUUC